UUUCCGUAGGUGAACCUGCGGAAGGAUCAUUGUCGAGACCGAAAGGAUAUAUCGAGCGAUUUGGAGAACCCGUGAAUAAGAGUGGCGACAAUUGUUUGUUGCCGCGGAAUAGCCGUCCCAGUCAUUGCCUCGUCUCUUUUGGGGGAGGGGCCAUGAUGAAGGGCGGACGAAAAAACUCAAACCGACGCAAUUUCGCGUCAAGGGAAUAUCGAAAAGCAUGGGCCCGUGAUCGGGCUCGGUGGCAUGGAGUGCUGAUGCACGCCAUAUAGGUUGACACGACUCUCGGCAAUGGAUAUCUCGGCUCUC
rnacentral:misc_RNA from 1 species